AGUGAACGCUGGCGGUAGGCCUAACACAUGCAAGUCGAACGGCAGCGCAGUAAGAGCUUGCUCUUACGGGUGGCGAGUGGCGGACGGGUGAGGAAUACAUCGGAAUCUACUUUUUCGUGGGGGAUAACGUAGGGAAACUUACGCUAAUACCGCAUACGACCUACGGGUGAAAGCAGGGGAUCUUCGGACCUUGCGCGAUUGAAUGAGCCGAUGUCGGAUUAGCUAGUUGGCGGGGUAAAGGCCCACCAAGGCGACGAUCCGUAGCUGGUCUGAGAGGAUGAUCAGCCACACUGGAACUGAGACACGGUCCAGACUCCCACGGGAGGCAGCAGUGGGGAAUAUUGGACAAUGGGCGCAAGCCUGAUCCAGCCAUACCGCGUGGGUGAAGAAGGCCUUCGGGUUGUAAAGCCCUUUUGUUGGGAAAGAAAAGCAGCAGGUUAAUACCCCGCUGUUCUGACGGUACCCAAAGAAUAAGCACCGGCUAACUUCGUG
rnacentral:rRNA from 1 species